rnacentral:tRNA from 1 species
GCGGGCGUAGCUCAGUUGGUAGAGCACCAGCCUUCCAAGUUGGAUGUCGCGGGUCCGAGCCCCGUCGCCCGCU